rnacentral:ncRNA from 1 species
CUUUCAGGUGUCCCUGCUGUGGCAGGGAUGAAACGGGAAGCCGGUGAGCUGCAUGAAGCAGCGAGGCCGGCGCUGCCCCCGCAACGGUGAUUGAGUCAAAGGCGGCCAUCACGCCACUGUGCCGGAGAAGCAUGGGAAGGCGGUCGCUGGGGAUGCCAUGGGCAUCCGCUCAUCAGCCCGUAGACCGGCCUGAAGGG